UACGGCCAUAUCAUGUUGAAACAUUGGUUCCUGUCUGAUCACUGAAGUUAAGCAACAUAGAGCCUGGUCAGUACUUAGAUGGGUGACCAUUUGGGAAUAUCAGGUGCUGUAAG